rnacentral:lncRNA from 1 species
CACAACUUAACAACUUUAUACGAUGUAUAACGCAAUUAACUAGAUUUCUUCUAGAGAAGAAGCUACUUCUAGAACAGUGGAUCAACGCCAUUAAUAUAAAAGGUCUUCAUUCAACAAAGUACAGCGUUAUCUAUAAUCAACACUUGAUGGACGAUGACUAUGAACAUCGACCAAAUAAGUACAGGGUACGAUUGAAAUAGAUCACAGUGCCUCCAGUUUUCUCUGAUACAGCAAAUUCACCGGAGAAAGAUGUUUUUGGAUUAUCGGACUCUGUAAAAACAUCUCAAGACAAUGACAUAAGAUGUACAAAACAGUUAUUGGAAUUUGCAGCAGAUCAUAAUUGAAGUGCUAUUAGUUCUCAGAAUGAUGUACAAAAUCCAGACACUGGGACACAUAUGGCAGCUUUAUGUGGAAUUGAGCUUAUGAUCAUUGAAACAAUUCAUAACCAAGAUACUGAGCUCCAGGGAUUAUGGAGAUUUCCUAAUACUACAUCCGAAGAAGAAGCAUAAGAAGAGUCGAGGUGAAAUAUGCAGCACAAGCAUUUGGCAGGAUAUUUGCCGUUAAUUCAGCAACUGCAGCUCAUCAUGGAACGAAUACUAAAUAUUUUAUUGUACAUCGAAUCAUUCUCACAGUAUCUGUAAUGCGCAUGAGUAACAAGAACCUCAAAUUUUAUCGCUGUCAUGCAAUCUGAAAAACGUCUUGUAAAUACAACGAGCAUUGCAGGCAGUACGUGUCAUCGAUUGCAGUUACAUUUAUAAACAUGUUUCCUUUAUGCAAGACUCACGAACUCACUAGGAGAGAAAAUGCUGCUAGAAGCAAGGGCCACCACCUAGACCUUGCUUUUUUCAGGCAAGUAAAGGGCAAUUUUAUCAUCGCUAUAACAAAUUUAUGUCAAAGUUGAAACAAAAUAAGAUCAAGUCAUAAGGUGUUACAGGUAUCAGGGUCACACAGAGAAAAAUUAUCAACAUGCUUGGCACAAAACGUUGGGACAUUGGGGCAUGAAUGUAAUAAAUGAAUUGAUCACUAAAGAACAAGCAACAGGUAUAAAAAUAUCAGAUUGUGAAAUCAGAACUACGUGUAAACACUGCAUAAAAGAAAAAAUCUCCAGGUGCGCAUUCCAAAAGAAAUCAUCAAGCACAACAGAGUCGAUACUGGAAAUGGUGCACAUGGAUAUGUGCGGUCUUAUGCAAACGGAACACCAUUUAAUAAACGUUACGUACAGUAUAACGUCAAUUAACUGGGUCCAGUUCAUCUGGGAUGCGGAUUCCCCGGGCUUGCUGCGAAAUAUUUUUUUAUUUUUAUUUUGAAACUAUAGUGGUGUUGCCGGCCGUUUAGAGGUUAAAGAUCGUAGAAAAUACUCUGCCAGUUUACUUAUCUUAAUCAAAAUUGAUUGUUUAAAUAUUGUAAAACAUCGGCAAAGUUAAGAUAACGAACAAAUCGUGUUUUUUACGGACAAAAUGGUUAUUUUUUUAUAGAAUUGAUUUCGAACAUAAAAAACUAUGAAAGUCUAUUCCUUGACUCUACGAAGUUUGAAAUAUGUUUGCGGUAAUAUGCACCCCAAGUGACUAAUUAGGGUUAAAAUCAAGUCUGGAUGUAAAAAGUUGACAGGAACAGCGUGAAAAUUAUGCAUUGUAAUGCCAGUUUAUUGUACUUUAUAUUCAUCACUUCAUUAACAGUUGUCAAAAAUUUCGAGAGUAAGUUCGAACGAUUCUCAAAGCUUCCAAAUCCAGUUCUUCGGAAUACAUGGUCAGCAGAUUGCAUUGAAAUUGGUUGAUUUUCUCUCGUAAGAAUUUUCAUUUCGCAUAUUUGGGAAGAAUGUUUCGAAAAUACGUUAUUUGAAAACGGCUGAGAUUGACUUUCAGUAAAAAAGUUUAUUCAAUGAUGACAAGCAAAGGCACAAAAAAAUUAACAAAUCAACUAGCAGAACUUGAAUUGAGCUAAUCCUGAUGAAAUGAUACAUUACAAAUAUGUACAAUAAGAAAUGUGGGAAAUAUACUGAAAAUUCUAAUGCUUUUCUUCAUAAGUGGCGAAAUCUCUUCGGUGGAUAAAAAAAAAAUUUGAAAAUUUUGAUAGAUUAGUAGUAUCCACAUUUUCAAAAAUACACCGGUCUGAGAAGCUGAGGAUCCAAAAUCAAGUUGGCUCUCAGAUAUUUAAGCCUUGGAUUAUUAAAGGACAGCAGUUAGUUAAGUAAGUAGUGUAUCAAGAAUCGCGUGAUAUCUUGUCCCACACUAAACAAGUUUAUUCAUAAUUGAUGGUAACCAGGUAAACAUUAAAAAUUAUUACAGUGCGUUAAAAGUUGAGUCAUUCUUUUCUCCAAGAUUAAAGACUACAUGGCCAGUUCUUUCUGCAAAGUUUAAUUCCUCUCUGUUAAUUUAAAUAUAAACCAUAAAGGUCACGUUCUGAGGACUGCAUCGGUAGCCACUAUUCUGGACAGAUUCUGUGUAAGAUAAGUUUGCAAAGUGAAGAGAGUUUUUUCCCUCAUUAUUAUGUGUGAUUAUAAUAGAUAUGAUGCUCUUGAAUCGAAAUAUGGUAAUAAAAAAUAUGUACCAUGUGUACUUUUCAUGUAAUGUUUUUUUUAAUUAAACUCUAUUUUCUAUAAUCAAACACUAAUGAUAGCAACAAUAUUUAUGAAAAAUAAGUUAUAAAGUUCAAAAGUUUAAACAUUAAAAUUGUUAGAAAAUCUAUAUACUAGUAUAAUAAGUUACUUUGUAGUUGUCUUUCAUUUCGUCAAUACAACGUUCAGCGAUAUCUUUCACUUUCCAUCAGUUUGAACUGGUUUUGUAUGUGUAUACAUACAUAUACUAUUUAAGUAGAUGUAGUAAUGUAAAUGCAAAAACAAAAUACAACAAAUUCUGAAUUUUAUAGAAUAUAAAUUUCAUAGCUUCAGCUGUCGUUCGAGGCAAUUCCUGAAUGAGAAAGGUGACGCACAUAAUUGACGAAAAUAAUAAGACGAAUGAGAAAAAUUACGAAUUGUUUGUGAAUUUUGUAUUGAUUAUUCUUAUUGCACAAUUGUCAACUCAUGCCACACCGAAAUUCAAGUUCCCCUAAUUUUUUCUAUGACUAUUCAACAAUUCAGUAGCAAUUUAGGUUGUAUAUGCCCUAAAUAAAAAAAUUGAGACAGUAUGAUAAACACCUCUGCAUCAUCAAAAGCUUUAAAAUUGUUGUUAAACAUCCGUUUGUAAAUGUUUUUAUCCCUUGAACAACAACAAACAAUGAAGGUUUUCCAACCUCAAGUUCAGAAACACCCGACGAUAGUAUAUAAGACGUUUGAUAACCAUUAAAAUUAUUAGUCUUUCAAUGCAACGUACUGACAAACAGCAACAUAACAUUAAUGAACCAAAUUUAAUAAAAUACGAUCUUAGUAAAUGCAUAACGAUUAUAAUUUAAAGUUUUAAAGUAUCUCUUGUAGCUUGUUUUGACUUAUGUUUUAAGAAUUUUAAGAUCGUUUCAACUAAUAUUAAUGACAAUUCUAUACUUCUGAGUUAAUAAUAAUAAAAAAAAAAGAAGCUGCCAUUGUCCUUUUAGCGAUAAAAAGAGAAUAAUAUUUACUUGUACAUCAAGCAUUAGUAAAAAAUCGGCAGUGAAAAAUCUACAUUGGGCAACAAAUUUUAUAUAUCUAUGAGAAGCAUGGAAAGAAUGCAUCAACUAUAAAUUUACAUGUGCAAAUUUUAGCUUUACAGUGCAGAAUUGCAAUAUAGGUAUGUGUUGUAAAAUAAAAUCACCACAGUUAUAUAUAAAUUUAAAUAAAACGAAAUAUGUACGCAGUACAAAAUUACCUACUAAUAUACGUAAUUCGCAAUGUGAAGAAUAUUUGACACUCUUCUGCUCAAUUUAACAUGGCAUAGGGGGGACCCUAUUGUACCUUGGACGUAUGCUUUUAUACUCAAAAUUAAUACGUGUUUCACUUAAUAACAACGAUAAGUAAGUUUCAAACGUCAAAUAACACUCGUGCGACUGCUUAAAGGAAGGUUUCAAGUGCUCAAGCGAGAUAAUUUUACGGGAAAUAGAGGAAAGCUUUGUAAAAAUAAAGGGGUAUAUUUCUUCUCAGUACUGACUAAAUAGAGCAAAAUUAGAAACACACUAGGGUGUCCGUUAUUUUGGUUUGAUAGCAAUUCGCAAUAUUGUAUUUCUAAUCUAAAAAUUCUGUGGAUUGUUUUAAUGUAUUGUGACAUGGUGUUGUACCAUGGACAUGUUCCAGGUACAAUGUGUCUAUUAUUUCUGAUUACUAAUUGUUCUCCGAUUGGGGAAGUUUUCGGAUGAUUAUAGAGACGUGAUGUAAAGUUUACUUAUGAGAAACUUAUUGUUGGUAUUUUUGUUAUGGUUGUUGUACUUGUCGUGAUUAUAGAGUGGAUGUGCUAGUGACCAAGCCAUAGGCUCGACCUAGAGCAUAUACACUCUAAGAAUUAGGUGGUCGGCCACUUUUUUUUACCUCUGGUUGGAAAUUAGUGUAGAUUUCGUAACCAUGAAACUUCUCAUCUUACUUAGAAAUUUUCCCUCACGAUUCAUUCCCUUUUGUAAGUUAUUGUGGUAAUCACACAUCUUGUGAAGCAAUUGAUUCUUCUAACAAGUGUACAGCUAAUUUAUUUCUGUGGUAAAAUAUCUGUAGCUGGCAACUAAUACAUUUACCUUACACCACAAUUCCCGAAAUUUUCGUUAUUUUAAAUACUUUACGAUAAUAUUAUGUUAGUAUACAUAUAUCAUAGUUAUUAUUAUCAAUACAACUUGUUCAUAAUUUACCAACAACAUGUGUUUUGAUGUGAUCACCAGAUAUUAAAUAGGUAGGUACAUACUACCGAGGAAAACAUAAUCGCAUGAUUAAAAAACAAAUUUUUUUGUGUCCCGACAGUAUCUAACCAAUCGCAGUGGUGCAUUAAGCAGAUACAGUGUGUGUUAUUCAAUAGACGUAACUUAGAUGCUACUGCUGCCAACCUUGUUUAUGCCCUGCUAAAAUUAGGUGAGUCAGAUUGGACUUUACCUGGGUGUACCUUGAGUCCUAAUCUACUUUUCUAGAAAA